AUGUCUAACUACGUGCUCAGCAGCUGAAGUAACUACGGAAGGGUGCUAAGCGUUAAUCGGAAUUACUGGGCGUAAAGCGCACGCUGGCGGUCUGUCAAGUCAGGAUGUGAAAUCCCUGGGCUCAACGUGGGACUUGCAUUCGAAACUGGCAGGCUAGAGUCUUGUAGAGGGCGGUAGAAUUCCAGGUGUAGCGGUGAAAUGCGUAGAGAUCUGGAGGAAUACCGGUGGCGAAGGCGGCCCCCUGGACAAAGACUGACGCUCAGGUGCGAAAGCGUGGGGAGCAAACAGGAUUAGAUACCAUGGUAGUUCACGCCGUAAACGAUGUCGAUUUGGAGGUUGUGCCCUUGAGGCGUGGCUUCCGGAGCUAACGCGUUAAAUCGACCGCCUGGGGAGUACGGCCGCAAGGUUAAAACUCAAAUGAAUUGACGGGGGCCCGCACAAGCGGUGGAGCAUGUGGUUUAAUUCGAUGCAACGCGAAGAACCUUACCUGGUCUUGACAUCCACAGAACUUUCCAGAGAUGGAUUGGUGCCUUCGGGAACUGUGAGACAGGUGCUGCAUGGCUGUCGUCAGUUCUUGUUGUGAAAUGUUGGGUUAAGUCCCGCAACGAGCGCAACCCUUAUCCUUUGUUGCCAGCGGUUAGGCCGGGAACUCAAAGGAGACUGCCAGUGAUAAACUGGAGGAAGGUGGGGAUGACGUCAAGUCAUCAUGGCCCUUAUGACCAGGGCUACACACGUGCUACAAUGGCAUAUACAAAGAGAAGCGACCUCGCGAGAGCAAGCGGACCUCAUAAAGUAUGUCGUAGUCCGGAUUGGAGUUUGCAACUCGACUCCAUGAAGUCGGAAUCGCUAGUAAUCGUAGAUCAGAAUGCUACGGUGAAUACGUUCCCGGGCCUUGUACACACCGCCCGUCACACCAU
rnacentral:rRNA from 1 species